rnacentral:snoRNA from 1 species
CUACGGGGAUGAUCUCAAAAGUUGAACUCUCUCUUUCUGAUGAAUUAGUGGAGAAAACAUAAGAAUUCUGAGUAGC